rnacentral:rRNA from 1 species
AUGAGGCCUCGGGAUGUAAACUCCUUUUAUACGGGAGAAAAUGACGGUACUCGAAGAAGAUGACGGUACCGUAUGAAUAAGCAACGGCUAACUCCGUGCCAGCAGCCGCGGUAAUACGGAGGGUCCGAGCGUUAUCCGGAUUCAUUGGGUUUAAAGGGUGCGUAGGGGGAUCGGUAAGUCAGUGGUGAAAUCUCCGCGCUUAACUGGGAAACUGCCAUUGAUACUAUGUGUCUUGAAUUCCGUGGAGGUAGGUGGAAUAUGUCAUGUAGCGGUGAAAUGCUUAGAUAUGACAUAGAACACCGAUUGCGAAGGCAGCUUACUACACGAAAACUGACGCUGAGGCACGAAAGCGUGGGCAUCGAACAGGAUUAGAUACCCUGGUAGUCCACGCCGUAAACGAUGAAUACUCG